rnacentral:lncRNA from 1 species
CGGAAAACAAUAUGGACUAUGCACGCAUAUAAAAAAAUAUCAAAUGAAGCUAAUAGAGGUUUUGAAACACGAAAAUAAGUGCUAGUACUCAAAACAACAUAUCAGGUCGUCACACCUUCACUUCAUUCUUUCUCUUUCUGAAGAUUCAAUGGAAAGAUCCCUCAAUCAAUGCAUUUAACUCCAUUAACUAGCGACAGCCGCCACCACCUUCCUCAAUCAUAACUACAAUAAACACUAGCUACUACCCAGAACCAUCG